rfam:Pseudoalteromonas lipolytica SCSIO 04301 genomic scaffold Scaffold2, whole genome shotgun sequence.
GCCCAGAUAGCUCAGUCGGUAGAGCAGAGGAUUGAAAAUCCUCGUGUCGGUGGUUCGAUUCCGCCUCUGGGCA